GCGUACGGGUGAGUAACAGAUUAAUAUCUACCUCUAACUCCGGAAUAAUUCUAUCUCUGUGGGGAGAAGGUAACAGAAAAAUACCGGAUAUUUAUAAAGGUACGCUGGUUAGAGAUGAUUAGAUCGAGUAUUAGGUAGUUGGUAAGAUAAAGCUUACCAAGCCUCUGAUGCUUAGUUGGUCUGGUAGGACGAUCAAUCACACUGGGACUGAGACAAGGCCCAGGUUUCAUUUGAAGGCAGCAGUAGGGAAUAUUGCACAAUGAGCGAAAGCUUGAUGCAGCAAGACUUGGUGAGGGAUUGAAGGCUUAGGUUGUAAACCUCUUUUUUAACUGAGGAUAAUGACAUUAGGUUAAGAAUAAGUCCCGACUAACUUCGUGCCAGCAGUCGCGGUAAUACGGAGGGGGCAAGCCUUAUUCGUCAUAACUGGGCGUAAAGGGCCCGUAGGUGGUUUUCUGAAAUGUUAUUUGUUAAAUACUGUAGCUUAACUAUAGAAAGGCAUUUAAAACAGGGAAACUUGAGUCUGACAGAGGAAAAUGGAAUCUUUCAAUUAGGGUUAGACUCCAUAGAAGUGAAAGAGAACAUCAGUAGCGAAAGCGAUUUUCUUGUUCAGUACUGACGCUGAGGGGCGAAGGCGUAGGUAGCGAACAGGAUUUGAGACCCUGGUAGUCUACGCUGUCAACGAUGAAUGCUAGUUUUUAGAAAUCUAGAAAAUAUAGCUAAGGCAUUAAGCAUUCCGCCUGAGGAGUACGAG
rnacentral:rRNA from 1 species